UCUUCCAUACAACAAAUAUAGUUGACCUAUUGCAUAUAGUAUUAGAAAAAAGACCAAAACUCAAACACUUAACUUUGACCACUGAACCAUGAAAAUGAGGUCAAGGUCAGAUGACACCUGCCAGCUAGACAUGUACACCUUACAAUCAUUCCAUACACCAAAUAUAGUAGACCUAUUACAUACAGUAUUAGAAAAAAAGACCAAAACUCAAAAACUUAACUUUGACCACUGAACCAUGAAAAUGAGGUCAAGGUCAGAUGACACCUGCCAGCUAGACA